CUUGGGUCUCCCGCUGCAUGUCUGGUGUGUUGCCUCUUCCCCUGGCACUAAUCCCUCUGCCUUGGGAGCUGCCAAGUGAAGGGCUGUACAACAGCGCAUGACCUCUCCUUCUGCACC
rnacentral:precursor_RNA from 8 species